GCGCGCCGCCCCGCCCUCAGCCUCACCUGGCGGCCAGGUGCGCGAGGCGGAGGCGGGAAGCGCGCGGACCCUCCCCUCAGCCGCCUCCGCGCGCCGCGCCCGGAGCAGCGUUACGCCCUCGCAUAGCGGGGUACCCGCCGCGCGCGCUAACGGGCGGAUCGCGGUGGAAGCGCGGCAGAGCGGCGUUGCGACCUUUCGCCAAUCCCCGCCGUGCUGCACCGCGCGCGGCCGAGCGCUGCCCGCGCACGUUGCUGGGAGACGGCACAAAACGCUGGAGGCGAAAUCAGCGCUCGAGAGAAGGGACGUCCCGCUGCGCGCGUGGACGGAGUGAACGGCGCUUCUCUCGGAAAGCACGAGGCUUUUGAGCAAAAGGAAGGACCGAAAGUUUGUUUCCAAGUUCCCCAGAGCUCCUUCCUUCUACCUGCGAAAGCUGAGGCUGGAGCUGCAGCAGCCACCCGCAGGUUGGGGCAGCCGCAAGGCCAAGCCAUUCCGAAAUUGGAGCUAUCAAAGGUCUUUCCAUCCGUUACUUUCCCGAGUAAAGGCUGCAAGAAGCAGCAUGCUUACUUCUUUCAAGAACACUCCUUCAAACCCACAUCCAGAUCAGGCACUCUGCUCCUCUUCGAGCAAGUACCGUAUCGCAUAAGUACCAAAAGAAGAGUUUUAGCAGAGGAAAAAAAAAAAGAACACACUUAUUUAAAUAACAGUCAAAAAAAGUCUGUUUGUUUGGAAAUUAUUCAAGAGGUAAAUCCACAGCAAAAUCAAACCCAUGGCUGCAAAGAGCCUGAGCUGACAGAGCAGUGAUCGGGCUGUAAGAAGUGGCACAGGCACAAGCAGAUGAAGCACUGCAUGAUGAUUUUUUUCCUGCUUUUCCUGCUUACUGCAUAGAGGAACAGCUCCCCAAUUGCUGUGUUCCCAUGCACUUGCUAGCAAGCAGCAGCCUACCCAAAGUGCUCCAAGACAGUGCUUACAGAACGAUUUCAACAAGUUCUUUGAUAAAUACAAGCGCUGUUUAAACUGUAAUGUUUGCAGAGCUGCUCACCCCUCUAAUGACUGCUAAGAUAAAGGCUGAGGUUGUUAAACUGGACUUUCCUGAGUUAUGAGCCUUUCUGAAAAUUGCUGCAGGCGCAUUUACGAAUUGAUUCAAGAUAGUCAAACCUGGCUCAGAAAGGGAACUGUAAAUUAUUUCUCUUUUUCCUACAAGAAUCUAAUUUAUUUCAUCUAAUUAUAUUAUUUCACGCAAUUCUACUUUCUAGGCCAUCUUCCUAAUAUUGGUAAAAAUCUGAAAAAAAAAAAAGUAGGAAAGAGUAUCAUUCCCCCAAAAAGAAAGUUUACAUAUCCUCUAGAAGAUCCUCCAGGCAUUCUGUACCUGCAGGGUCAGGACAGUAGAGGAAGUGACACCUAUGGCUCACGUUGCUAUAGCUACAGGAUGCCCAGAUUCCCAGCUUCAGUGAAUGAAUCAAUAGAAUCCACAGCUUUGCUCUCCUCUUUUAUUCAACAAAGGCAAAGUGGAAGAUGGGUUGCCAAGCAACAUCAUGCUAAAGACUGCAGCUCUUUGAAACAAGCAUUACUGACUGCCCUCCAUCCUCCCUCUCAUCCUCCAGGAGUCUCUUCCAUUCAAAGCCAUUUAUUAAGGGACUGAAAAAAAGCUACCAGGACAUGAAUUUUAAAAUAAGAACUGUAAAAGCAGAAGGAAAGCUGGAAUUCAUGCUUAAAGUAAAAGAGAAAUGAAACAGUACCAUUCCUUCUGCACUGAAAGAAGAAAAAAAAUAUUGAGGAUAAAAACUUAAACUGACUUACACAAACCAAAAGGGGAUGGGAUGACCAUUCCCUUCUGUUAAUAUUUUAUUAAAGCAAAAUUUCCUCCAAAAGACUUACUUAUAGCCACCGUUUCUUUAAUUGAAAUCUAAUGAUGUUUCUCAACUGCACACUUAUUUUAAAGACUUAACUCAUAAAAAAAGCACAUUAGUGACUAGAUGUGUUCAGGAAGCCUAACAGGAUUCCAGAAAUCUUUUCUUUCAUGCUAAAAUCAACAAAAAUCUCCACCAUAAAUUAGCAAGGAAAAGCUUCAAGUCUAAGACCAAUUUCUAUCAACUAAUUUCUGCAUCAUAUCAUCUUAUGAACCAUCUUAUGAAAUGGCAAUAUGCAUCUUAUGCUUAUAAUAAAAUAAAAAAGUGGGUGUAGAUACAGAUUAGUUUUACCUAUUUUGAACACGUCUUGCAUGAACCAACAUAAAAGUAUCUAUUUUUAUUCUAAACUUGAGCUAAGUUAUUCCAAUGCUAGGGAGCAAGCGGAAAGACAUCGAUCUCAUACAGAAAAGUCUGUGGAUAAAGAAAUGCUCUCUUAUUAGAAACUGCCUUGAAGAGCCCUAUGCACUUAAUCUUUUACCAGUGAAAAAAAAAAAAAAAAUCCAGCAGCUUAAGGAUUCAUAAUCUGAUUCCCAAAGGCCAGCUUCCUUAUAACUCCUCCCAGCCUCAGCAUUCUUCAAAUCCUUCCAAGUCCCUCUUCCUACUCCCAUACUAUCAGUUUCCCUCAAUCACCUAAGUCAUUUUCUUCCCGUAUUGUGCUCAGUACAAAAAAAAAUACAUUUACAGCACAAGCUUCAAGGUUAUCUGUGGAAGGAGAGGCCACUUACUCAAGUCUUUUGUCAACUCUUUCAUACCAAACUUGUAGAAGUAUUAUACACCCGUUACCUGUUAGUUUCCAUUAAUUUUAGUUUGGCUGACCAAAAGCUCAGAACUUCCUUGAAUGCAGGAUCUAGAAAUGUCCAGUAGGUAGCAUCAUUGCAUUCAGGAUAUAUAUCAAUCUGUUCAGGAAACAAGGCUAUAAGUUACCCAAGGCAUUGCUCCCAGUCACAGAUAGGCAAGAUUAUAUACAACUUCCAACAGCAUCUCUUGUGUAGCCUUAACACUGAGUUGUCAACGUUAAGUUGUUGUUUCAUUCUAUCAAUCCCUUAAAGAUCCACAAGCGUGUUACAUGCAAGAUACAAAACAAAACACUCUAAAUUAAACAGGACAAAUAUUUAUCUCCAUGAAAACCUGUAAUACAGCAUGAGUAAAAAAUACCAUGUAGAAAUUUGCAUAAUUGUUAAAUAUUUAAUUAAUUUUAUAUAAGAUCUUAAUUUUACACAUUAGCGUUUCAUUAAAAAUGAAAGUUUCAUUGAGAACAAUGCAUGUAACUUCUUUAAUCUUGAAAAAGCAGUGUAUUUGCAGCCUAUGUAAAAAUAAAAACAUAUGAAAUCAUGAAUAGAUUGAUUUCUCAUACCAAAAUCCAGCAUCUUGACAAUACACAAAGAUAAUGCCUGCACUGCUUUGGACAGGCUGCUGAGCACUAUUUCAAAUGAACAAAAAAAUACUGAAUUAUACUCCCUAAAACAUAUUGACAAUGCUGGGACACAGAAUAGAAGAGUGCACUACCUCCUGCACAGCAUUUAUCUGGAAAGACACUGCUGUAUGCAUUUGUAUUUAGAAUUAUUUUAUUACUUUUCUGAAAAAUACACAGUUGCAUAGAAUACUUGCUAUAUACAUUGUGGACUACACGUGUAACUUUGAAAAGUAGAUUGAAAGUGUACCUCCAGUAAGUCACUAGAAUCCAAGUUGUGUGUUUAUCUGAAAUGCACUUGGGCAGUAUUCUAUAGAGAUGCUUGUGGUCUUUGUUAUUUUUUAUUUCUGGAUGAUGUUUUAUGUACCAUACAUGCAAGCAGUAUUUUCUGCUGAAUAGCUACAGUUCCUUCCAGGGCUGCAGACUUUUCUUGAAAAUGAUCCAGACUUCUAAUUCAAUGCAAAUUAAUCAUGUUCACAAUACAUUUGUGUUGAUACGGUCUCUGUCACUGCAACAGUUUCUGAAGGCACCUUAUACUAAUAAGUCAAUUAGCUUCAAAAAAAAAAAGUUAUGCUCUUAAUGAUGCACGGGCCUUGUCAAGUAUUUCCUUUCUGAUCUUUGGAUAGUUUGGAUGUGCUUCAAGGACCU